rnacentral:lncRNA from 1 species
ACCAAGCCAAUUAGGUGCCAACUCUUGGCUAACCCAUAUUAGAACAUGAUCUAAUCAAAUUAGAUCAAUUAAGAAUCGGAUUUGAAUCCAAUUCGAAUCAAGAGCUAAGGGUUUGCAACACCUGCUAGGAUGUCUAUCUUGCAAACAUGAUCUAAUCCAAUUAGACCCUUAAUAAGUUUUCUUGUGUGUGACCCAUUGGAUUCCAUACUUAGCCAGCAAUAGGUGUGAGUGCGAGUUGACCCAACUUGAUUAGAACUCUUCUAAUCGAUUUAAGUCCAAACUGCGCGAACCCGAACUUAACAAUUAGAAUCCUUUCUAAUGGGUGAUCGAAUUAAACUCUUUAAUUCGAUCAAACCUAUAAGACAAGAUUGACGUCUAGCAACGUGUCAUGUCUACCCGAAAAAUAUGAAAUUUGGUGAAAAUACCAAAAAUACCCUUCAGUGGCAAGUUACCGUGCAAUUCAAUUCUUUAAACAAACUGCAUCCUGAAUAUGUAUAUGAGUAUAAAUAUAUGUCAAACUCAAUUUCAUAUUCAUAUAUUUCUCAAUCUUCUAAUGAUAAUUCGAAUAAUGAAAUAUUCGAAACUCUUUCUAAUUUUCAUUGUGCUUUGAUCAAAGACUUCCUGAAUUAUCAUAUGAUCAGAAUAAAUAGGAUGCGAUCUUCUCUUACUAGAAGUGAUUAAUUCCUUGUUGACCUACUUAUAACCUUCAUACACAUUCCACCAUAUCCAGAAGACCUCGUACAUAACUUAUUGUCAUGAAUGAGUGGAAACCAAAAUAUGGAAUU